CCUACGGGAGGCUGCAGUGGGGAAUAUUGGACAAUGGGGGGAACCCUGAUCCAGCGACGCCGCGUGAGUGAAGAAGUAUUUCGGUAUGUAAAGCUCUAUCAGCAGGGAAGAAAGAAAUGACGGUACCUGACUAAGAAGCCCCGGCUAACUACGUGCCAGCAGCCGCGGUAAUACGUAGGGGGCAAGCGUUAUCCGGAUUUACUGGGUGUAAAGGGAGCGUAGACGGCGAUGCAAGUCUGAAGUGAAAGGCGGGGGCCCAACCCCUGGACUGCUUUGGAAACUGUAUGGCUGGAGUGCAGGGGAGGUAAGUGGAAUUCCUAGUGUAGCGGUGAAAUGCGUAGAUAUUAGGAGGAACACCAGUGGCGAAGGCGGCUUACUGGACUGUAACUGACGUUGAGGCUCGAAAGCGUGGGGAGCGAACAGGAUUAGAUACCCCUGUAGUC
rnacentral:rRNA from 1 species